rnacentral:tRNA from 1 species
GCACAGGUAGCAAAGCCCGGUUACGCGAUGGACUGCAAAUCCAUUUUACAGGGGUUCGAAUCCCCUUCUGUGCUCCA